UACAGAGGGUGCGAGCGUUGUCCGGAAUCACUGGGCGUAAAGGGCGCGUAGGUGGCGCUGCAAGUCGGUGGUGAAAGCUCGAUGCUUAACAUCGAGUCGGCCAUCGAAACUGCAGGGCUUGAGCACUGUAGGGGCAGAUGGAAUUCCGGGUGUAGCGGUGGAAUGCGUAGAGAUCCGGAAGAACACCGGUGGCGAAGGCGGUCUGCUGGGCAGUUGCUGACACUGAGGCGCGACAGCGUGGGGAGCAAACAGG
rnacentral:rRNA from 1 species